UACGUAGGGGGCAAGCGUUGUCCGGAAUCAUUGGGCGUAAAGCGCGUGUAGGCGGCCCGAUAAGUCCGCUGUGAAAGUCCAGGGCUCAACCCUGGAAUGCCGGUGGAUACUGUCGGGCUCGAGUCCGGAAGAGGCGAGUGGACUUCCUGGUGUAGCGGUGAAAUGCGCAGAUAUCAGGAGGAACACCGAUGGCGAAGGCAGCUCGCUGGGACGGUACUGACGCUGAGGAGCGAAAGCGUGGGGAGCGAACAGG
rnacentral:rRNA from 1 species